AACGAACGCUGGCGGCAUGCCUAACACAUGCAAGUCGAACGAAACCUUCGGGUCUUUUGUCCCCCGGCUUCGUCACGCGUGGGAACCUUCCCUUAGGUUUGACCUACCUCUCCGAAAGGGGUGCUAUUACCGGAUCAUGUCUUCUGCCCAAGGAUUUAUCGCCUUUGGUUGUGCCCGCGUUGGAUUAGCUAGUUCUUAGGGUAAAAGCAUACUAAGGCGACGAUCCAUAGCUGGUCUGAGAGGAUGAUCAGCGACACUGGGACUGAGACACGGCCGAGAAUCCUACGGGAGGAAGGAGUGGGGAAUAGAGGAAAAUGGGCGGAGGGAUGAAGGAGCAAGGACGCGAAAGUGAUGAAGGCAUGAGAGUAGUAAAGCGCUAGUAACCAGGAAGAUAAUGACAGUACCGGGAGAAUAAGCUACGGCUAACUACGUG
rnacentral:rRNA from 1 species